UAUAUUUGCACCCUUGAAAGAAAACCUUUCAAAUACAUAAGAAUCAUUUAAAUAAUAUUGGAAUG
rnacentral:ncRNA from 1 species